CGCCUUUUUACCCACGCCUUUUUACCCACGACCCACGACUUUUUACCCACGACCCACGACAUUUUACCCACGACCCACGACAUUCUACCCACGACCCACGACAUUCUACCCACGACCCACGACUGUUAGCUAGUCCCAUCAUAAGUGGGUGUGCACAAUUAAAAUAAAAAAAGUCUGUCAUGCACACUCAUGCAAUUAAGACAAGUACAUAAUUGUAACAUGUGCUGUACUAAAUGAAGAAAUAAAUAGUUUGUACAUUCAC